rfam:Triticum urartu cultivar G1812 contig1452568, whole genome shotgun sequence.
GUAGUACUCCCUCCGUCCGGAAAUACUUGUCAUCAAAAUGGAUGUAUCUAGAUGUAUUUUUGUUCUAGAUACAUCCAUUUUCAUCCAUUUUGAUGACAAGUAUUUCUAGACGGAGGGAGUAUUAG